rnacentral:siRNA from 1 species
UAGCCGUAUUUCAUGAUGCGUU